rnacentral:rRNA from 1 species
GAUGAACGCUGGCGGCGUGCCUAAUACGUGCAAGUCGAGCGAACAGACGAGGAGCUUGCUCCUCUGACGUUAGCGGCGGACGGGUGAGUAACACGUGGAUAACCUACCUAUAAGACUGGGAUAACUUCGGGAAAACGGAGCUAAUACCGGAUAACAUGUUGAACCGCAUGGUUCAACAGUGAAAGACGGGCUUGCUGUCACUUAUAGAUGGAUCCGCGCCGCAUUAGCUAGUUGGUAAGGUAACGGCUUACCAAGGCAACGAUGCGUAGCCGACCUGAGAGGGUGAUCGGCCACACUGGAACUGAGACACGGUCCAGACUCCUACGGGAGGCAGCAGUAGGGAAUCUUCCGCAAUGGGCGAAAGCCUGACGGAGCAACGCCGCGUGAGUGAAGAAGGUCUUCGGAUCGUAAAACUCUGUUAUUAGGGAAGAACAAAUGUGUAAGUAACUAUGCACGUCUUGACGGUACCUAAUCAGAAAGCCACGGCUAACUACGUG